CAAGCCAGAAGAGGUGCGUCGCCCAGGUAGAGUGUCAGAGGAGCCGUUGUCCAAUGACGGCGCUUGAGGGGGAGCGACGCCGAGGUAAGGUGAUGUGCGGCAUUCAUCGUAUCGACUACAGGGGCUGAAUCCCCUGAGUUGUCACCAGGGAUUGUCCGUAGGGGCAAUCAGCAAGGUGGGGCGCUUCUGGGUGU
rnacentral:ncRNA from 18 species